CAAGCCUGGUUUUUUCAGAAGCAGAAGCAGAAGCCACUGCUAAGCACUGUAGCGGUAAAAACAGUAGUUUAAUGAAUCUUUGCAAAUACCAACUCCAACCCUCACAGCAAAGAAUCGUGAUUUGGCCACUAUAUGCUGUAAAGUUAGUCUGAUACUCUGAUGACAUGAUUGGUCAUGGUUCUGUGGUUGCAUGUGUACUCAUCCUCUGAGUGUCCAGCUCCAUAUUAUACUAGUUAUAUUAUUAUUAUACAAUUCUAACUAUAAAGCUCAGUUGCCCGCUUUAUUGUUCACAAAGUGGAGUGACGUUUUGCCCUUUCUCACGUGUACACAUCUCUUGAGAAGAGAGAGAGAGAGCGAAGGGAGCCGAGUGAUAUGGGUAGAAGAAGUGAUCUGGGUAGAAGAAGAAGAAGAAGAAGAAGGGAUUUCGAACCGCAAACAAAUCGUCUCCAUAACUCCAUUUCUUCCAUAAAUCUUUCUCCUCCACUGUUAUUCAAGUAGACAUGAGUGCAUCAUUGUCGAUUUCGAGCAAAUUCAUCAGAGAGAGAGAGAGAGAGGAAGAAGAGGAGGGGGACGGGAAGCUCUCAGGGAAAUCAUCAGCCCGGGCAGUCCAACCCGAAGUUGUUGGUGGCCGGCCAGCAGGCGUGGUGUUUUCGGCAGAGAUUCAUGACUUUGUAGUUGAGGAUAAAGCCAAGUUGUACCCUUCUGUUAAAGAUGGUGUAUCCAUUACUAUAAUAGAAGCAAGCUCUCAUAUUUUGGACAUGCGAGUAAGGCAUAUACAUUUCUGUAAUUGAAGAAUCCUAAUAUUGAUGACUGGAUACUUGAGUGAUGCAACUAUGGCUGAGGAUGCCUUAGCUGUUUGCAUGACUAUAAUGAUUGGGAGCUCAUAUUUCCUUUAACCUUCUUUGCGGGGACAGGUAAUUUCCCUUUUGUAUUUCAUAGAUCUCAUUUUUUUGCAAGCACAAAUUCCGCAGCAAAGCGCGGCAGAACUUGGCUGCAUAUCAGAACCUAACAACACAGUCCAUGUAUGACAAGCAACUGGAUAGCGGAAGGGGUACUCUUCUGAUGUGAUUCAACAGGAGGUCAAGGAGGUGAUACUUUCUUUCUAUAUAUUAAUGGAACAGGGAAAAGCUACAAGAGAAGAUCUGGAUAGGUGGUGUGAGGAACUCAUUAGAGAAGAGUUUGGUGCCAGUUGUAAUUUUGAUGUGGAUGAUGCAGUUGGGAAGUUGGAGAAAUUGGGAAUUGUCUCUCGGUUAAGACUCCCUAAAGCCCUCAUUGAACAUGGAUUCCGUUGGACGGUAUUUCUGCGUUGGGCUGAAACGUGCAAAUGAAAUAAUUGGGACCACCACUGAGGAGCUUGUUAUGAGGGCAAAACAAGGCACACAAGGCAGUAGUUCUUGAUGCUGUCUUGGGAAGUUGGGCGGCUUCUUUCUUAACUUUACUAGAGGGUGUUUAUUUCUUGGGGCAGGUGCUAGACCAUCCUCAAUCCUCUUUGAUGGAAGAUUAUCCUCAAAUAUUUCGCUGCUUGUUAAUAUCUCUAAAUCUUUGAGUGUGGCGUUUCUUCCCAAUUUUAUGUAUUUAGAAGUGUGGAUGUAGCCGAGCUAGCUAGGUUCCACAAUCCAGUUGAAGACUUAAAAGUUAUGGUCGUCUACUGUUGAUUGUAAGUGGCGAUACUUUUCAUUUCCCAAUAGGUACUGAAGUAUUGAAAAUUCGUAGCAAUCGCAUAUUGUAUGAAGUAUGUAUUUUGAA